CUUCAUUGCAUCCUCGCGACUAAUGACAAUCCUUACGCCCUCAUGGGUAAAGUUUCUCAUUAGCCGCGCGAACCUCUGCAAGUGAAGAUCACAUACUGCAACAAUACAAUAGUUUGCUAUGGAUUGCUGCCGGUUGCUUGAAAAAAGGGGCCCGGAGGCCCCCUUUU
rfam:Pantoea gaviniae strain LMG 25382 Contig0108_, whole genome shotgun sequence.